GCCCUGUGAUUGGCUGGCCACCAGUCCAGGGUGUACCCCGCCUCUCGCCCCAAGACAGCUGGGAUAGGCUCCAGCACCCCCCGCGACCCUCGUGAGGAAAAAGCGGUGAAUGAAUGUCGUAUCUUACCGCUGCACAGCCUCCAGGGACGACCCCGGCCACCAACACAGGGGAGUCUCCUCUGAGCGUGAGUCCUAAACCACCUUCUCUCCUCUGGAGGCAAAUCCGACGUGCCGGGCCCCAUCGAGCUCGAGCACAGAACACUGCCAAAGGCCCCUGAAGCACAAGGAAGCCUUCAUUUACAAAAUGUCAUUUCCAGAGGAAACACUUCAGGCAUCGAUGACUCGCCAAUCUUUGGAAGAUAUCCGUGACUUGGACAGCGGAGAAGUUGGCUGGGAUGAUGUCGGGCUUCUGAGGGCUUUGAGCUGACAACACAAGAAGACGCCACACACGGUUGAAUGAUGGAACUGAACCAAAUAUUCCUGAUUCAAGUGUCGCUUUUCCACUUACAUCGUAUCUCCGGUGCUUCUGCCGUUUCAUCGAAGUCAUCCUCCCGGUCCAUUUCAGAGUACUUGUCCAAAGAACGCUUGUGUGCCACUGAUAGGAUGUCCUGCAAGAUGUCCAUCUUCCUUAAGAUCUUACACAGACCGUGGAUCCGCAUGGCCUCCUCGUGUCUCAUCACCGCAAGGCGCAAGUGGGCUUUACCUUCAUUAACACAAAUAACAAACAUAUGAAUUUACUGCAUAUACAUAAGGAGCAUUAUAUUAUAUUUUAUAUAAUUUAUAUUUUAUAUAAAUUAGUAAGAUUUAUUGUGUGUAAGUGUUUAUUUUGAUACCCACAUUAUUCUCUUCCACAUGUGCUAUAUGUUUGUGUAACCAGCUAACAAAGCCUGUGUAUCCUUAUUUCUCCCAAUUUGCCGCUGUCGCAAAUCGCGCGAUAUUUUGUGUGACGUCAUUUCUCGUGCACCUGUCAAAUAUGGCGUCUCUUAUCAGUAUAUGUUCGGCAGCGGCAGAAACAUUGCACACGAGUGAACCUUUUCAAGUAUCUAUUGUACAAUUCUGCUUUUUAUGGUUCGUAUUGAACUCAAAGGGAGCCUCCUACCGCGAACCGAACGGGGGAAAGACAAAAAAUACACGUCACGAUAGACCGCGGAAUUGGCCGGGUUUUCCACAACAGCGAACUACUGGAGCCACAGAUUGGAGCCCACAAGAGGAUUGAACCAUACCACUCCUGCCGGCUGAUAGCAAGUUCGAAACCGGCUUGAAGCAUCACUGACCUGCUGACAUCACGGCAGAUGAUGGCGGGAACUUUGGCAUGGAAGUCUGACACCACGUCUGAAAAUACAGCUGGAGAAGAGAGCGAGACUUCGAUCAGCAACUUUCCCAAAAGGUGACAAGCUAACUCAAAAAUACUGAGUACCGUAUUUUCCGGACUAUAAGUGGCACUUUUUUUCCUAGGUUGGCUGUUCCUGCGACUUAUACUCCAGAGCGACUUAGAAAUGAAAAAAAAGUGUUUAUGUUCCAUAAACACUGGACACCUUUUGUGUUCAUGUUUAUUUUUUGUGUAGCUGUAUAAGCAUUGUGUUAGCAUAUGUUAGCAUGUUCUCUAUUCUUUUAUUGUUAGAACUUGCCUUCCAAGAGGACGUAAUGUCUGUUUUGGUCAAGUAGUUUGGAAAAUUAAUUACCCGCAAAAAAUGCCACUUAUACGCCAGUGCGACUUAUGUAUGUUUUUUUUCUACCUAAUUAUACAUUUUUGGCCUUGUGUGACUUACACUCCUGAGCGACUUAUGUUUGUUUUUUUCUACCUAAUUAUGCAUUUUUGGCCUUGUGCGACUUAUACUCUGGAGCGACUUAUAGUCCAGAAAAUACGGUAAAUUACCCGCAAAAAAUGUGACUUAUACUCCAGUGCGACUUCUGUAUGUUUUUUUUCUACCUAAUUAUACAUUGUUGGCCUUGUGCGACUUAUACUCUUGAGUGAUUUAUGUUCGGUUUUUUUCUACCUAAUUAUGCAUUUUUGGCCUUGUGCGAUUUAUACUCUUCAACGACUUAUGUAUGUUUUUUUCUACCUAAUUAUGCAUUUUUGGCCUUGUGCGACUUAUACUCUUGAGCGACUUAUGUUUAUUUUUUUCUAAUGUCAAAUGGUCUUGUUUUACCACUAAAACAAGCAGUACAGGUAGUGAACCAAUAAUUGGUAACUGCAGAAACAUGAAGUCCUUUUCAGACAUGUUGAAUUGUGCAAACGUGAUGUAUUUGUAUGCUACUGUGUUUUUACAUGACAAGAGUUUGACUCCAGACUUACUGCUGUUUUUGAGGAUUUCCAGCGCUUGAAUCAGCACUUCGGGUUGUGUCAUCUGGAUGUGCAAAAGCAAUACAAAAAAAUGUCAGUCAGGACUCUGGACUGCGACUAAACUGUCGCAUUUUGUGACUAAAACGGAAGAUGUCGUGAGUAAAACUGUUAUGUACUUGCA